ACGGAAGGCAGCAGUGGGGAAUAUUGCACAAUGGGGGAAACCCUGAUGCAGCAACGCCGCGUGAAGGAAGACGGUCUUCGGAUUGUAAACUUCUGUUCUUAGUGAAGAUAAUGACGGUAGCUAAGGAACAAGCCACGGCUAACUACGUGCCAGCAGCCGCGGUAAUACGUAGGUGGCAAGCGUUGUCCGGAAUUACUGGGUGUAAAGGGAGCGCAGGCGGGAAAUCAAGUUGGAUGUGAAAUGUCGGGGCUUAACCCCGGAACUGCAUCCAAAACUGAUUUUCUUGAGUGAAGUAGAGGUAGGCGGAAUUCCGAGUGUAGCGGUGAAAUGCGUAGAUAUUCGGAGGAACACCAGUGGCGAAGGCGGCCUACUGGGCUUUAACUGACGCUGAGGCUCGAAAGUGUGGGGAGCAAACAGGAUUAGAUACCCUGGUA
rnacentral:rRNA from 1 species